CCACAGAACACACAAGGGAUGAAGGGCUGACCUUUGAAGGCAGCAUGGACCAUGGUGGAAAGUAAUUUAAAACAACAAACUCAUUAUUACAUCCUCAGAUGAUGAGCUUGGAGCUAUGCAUUUUCGAUUUUCCCAGUGUCUGAGGUCAGUUUUGUUUUAGGAAGAAAGUUCAGGAAGAGGGAAAGCAAAGUUCAGAAGGAGACAAGAUUAAAAAGAAAAGAAGACAACUGAAUUGCUUUAAUACUAGAAUCAGAAAGGCAUGGGAUAAAUAUCAUGCAGAAGAAAGUAUAAAACAGCCACAUGUUGAUGAGAGACCAGUGUAAGACUCUAGAGCAGAAAAGUAUAAAUGGACAAGGAGUUUAUAACAAUAAUCUC
rnacentral:lncRNA from 1 species